rnacentral:rRNA from 1 species
UACGUAGGGUGCGAGCGUUGUCUGGAAUUACUGGGCGUAAAGAGCUCGUAGGUGGUUUGUCGCGUCUGCCGUGAAAGUCCGGGGCUCAACCCCGGAUCUGCGGUGGGUACGGGCAGACUUGAGUGCAGUAGGGGAGACUGGAAUUCCUGGUGUAGCGGUGAAAUGCGCAGAUAUCAGGAGGAACACCGAUGGCGAAGGCAGGUCUCUGGGCUGUAACUGACGCUCAUGCACGAAAGCGUGGGGAGCAAACAGG